rnacentral:misc_RNA from 1 species
GUCAGGGAAACAAGAGGUGGUGAAGCAAUGAUUGACAAUAUGAGUCAAGGAUUACCCAAGCGCUCUCCCGAACACGGCAGGCAAAUGCGCCCAACACUGCUACUGACUAGUUUGCAAGAUUUUAGUAGCUAAGCAGAAAUGACACACGAUAGAAAAAUGCUCGAUCGAGAAGCCGUACGCUCUGUCAUCCAGCAAUGGAAUGCGAACCGCUUGGAUUUGUUCGCUUUAUCCGAGCCUGACGAGAACCUGCUAUUUCAUGGCGUCAUGCGGUUUUAUUUCCAAGAUGCUGGACAAAAAGUCGCUACCAAAUGCAUUCGUGUGGCCUCUGACGCCACUGUCUCAGAUGUUAUUGAUACCCUAAUCGAAAAAUUUCGUCCCGACAUGCGUAUGCUGUCAGUGCCAAACUACGCCCUCUAUGAGGUACAUGCGAAUGGCGAAGAGCGCCGCUUGAACCCUGACGAAAAGCCUUUAUUGGUGCAGUUAAAUUGGCAUAUCGAUGAUCGUGAAGGUCGUUUCUUGCUCAAGAAUAUUGACCAAAAAACUACGCCAAUCGAACAGUCAGAUAUGAAUUUCAAACGAAAACUUUCUAAGAGGGAAAAGAAAGAACAAAAAAAGAAAGAAAAACUCGCAAAAUUAAAUUCUGAAUCGACAUCUGGCGGCUUUAACGGAGGAAUUGCUAACGAUUGUAGAGAGGGUGAAACUCAAGUGGCUGGAAAACUUUACACCGAACUGCCAGAGACGUCAUUUACUCGUUCGAUUUCCAAUCCAGAAGCUGUUAUGCGUCGGCGACGACAACAAAAGCUUGAGAAGAAGUUGCAGCAAUUCCGAUCACGUGAUGGCGGGCCUGACACCGGUGGGACGCUAAAGAUUUACGGCGAGAGCCUAUGUCAAGAUGUUCCGUACAAAACGUUAUUACUUUCUAUACGCGACUGUGCUCAGGCCGUCGUUCGGGAAAUGUUGUCAAAAUAUGGUCUGGACAAAGCUGAUCCUUUACACUAUUGUUUGGUGCAGGUGAAUAGCGAUGGAACGCAAUACAUUCUCGACGAUGAUGAAUGUCCGCUCUCCAUACUGAUGAACCACCCAACAUCACGAGCCUUUAGUGCACUCUCUUCUACCUGUGUUGGAUCUCAACUAGUGGAGUUCUAUACGAGAGAGCUGGCCUGUAUCUCUGAUCAAUACAAAAUUAUGUCGGUCCCGGGACAUAGGGACAUUUCAGGAAACGAGGCAGUGGACCAACUAAUAAGGUGCGAAAGUUAUCACCCCAAGGCCAAGUAGAGGUCGAACCGUACAAAAUCGUAGAGGUUUACCAGGGUGUCCUGCGACCCACUUAAAACCAAAGCUCUUUUGGAAGCAAGGAAGAUAUCUACAAACUUACUGCAGUUCUGUCGCAGUUGCGAUGACCCUGGCUCAAAAGCGACAGUCCGAACACUUUCUGUGCGAGUGUGAGGCCCUUAAACACACUCGGCAAGCCAUUCCUGCAGAAUGUUUCAGAGUGCAGCUUCCUAUCUUUGUAUGACGUAUUGGAAUUCAUUACAGCCGCCAAAUGGAAGUAGGUUGCACGAGUUAUGGAAUCAAAAAGGCAAACUUUCUAAUUGCUCCUCACCAGGGUGACAAUCCACUUAAAACAUGCAACCAUUCAUCUGAACCACUAUUAAACUGUCAAUAUUUCUAUGUACACAAGAUCGUAACUGUUUGCUUAAUUAUAAACUAAUUUUAUACAUAAAUACUUAUUUAGGGGAUUCACAAUCGUUAAUCGUCGAUAAACCUUAAGCUUAUCAUUUUUUUAUGUAAAAUAACGGUUAAAAUGGUUUUAGGGGGCGCUAUUAUAUACUUUUUAUCAGUUUAAAAACAUUUCGGUGUAGUUAGAAGUCCUCUAUAACCAUUUCAAUCAUUAUUUUACAUGAACAUGUUAUUUUUGUACCGGCAAUAAAUUUAUUGGAAACAUA